AACGUAGGACGCGAGCGUUAUCCGGAGUUACUGGGCGUAAAGGGCGGGCAGGCGGCGUGUCAAGUUGGUUGUGAAAUCUCCUGGCUAAACUGGGAGGGUGCAAUCGAAACUGACAGGCUAGAGGACAGCAGAGGGUCGUGGAAUUCCGGGUGGAGUGGUGAAAUGCGUAGAGAUCCGGAGGAACACCAGAGGCGAAAGCGGCGACCUGGGCUGUAACUGACGCUGAACCGCGAAAGCCAGGGGAGCGAAC
rnacentral:rRNA from 1 species